CGCUGGCGGCGUGCCUAAUACAUGCAAGUCGUACGCUUCUUUUUCCACCGGAGCUUGCUCCACCGGAAAAAGAAGAGUGGCGAACGGGUGAGUAACACGUGGGUAACCUGCCCAUCAGAAGGGGAUAACACUUGGAAACAGGUGCUAAUACCGUAUAACAAUCGAAACCGCAUGGUUUUGAUUUGAAAGGCGCUUUCGGGUGUCGCUGAUGGAUGGACCCGCGGUGCAUUAGCUAGUUGGUGAGGUAACGGCUCACCAAGGCCACGAUGCAUAGCCGACCUGAGAGGGUGAUCGGCCACAUUGGGACUGAGACACGGCCCAAACUCCUACGGGAGGCAGCAGUAGGGAAUCUUCGGCAAUGGACGAAAGUCUGACCGAGCAACGCCGCGUGAGUGAAGAAGGUUUUCGGAUCGUAAAACUCUGUUGUUAGAGAAGAACAAGGAUGAGAGUAACUGUUCAUCCCUUGACGGUAUCUAACCAGAAAGCCACGGCUAACUACGUGCCAGCAGCCGCGGUAAUACGUAGGUGGCAAGCGUUGUCCGGAUUUAUUGGGCGUAAAGCGAGCGCAGGCGGUUUCUUAAGUCUGAUGUGAAAGCCCCCGGCUCAACCGGGGAGGGUCAUUGGAAACUGGGAGACUUGAGUGCAGAAGAGGAGAGUGGAAUUCCAUGUGUAGCGGUGAAAUGCGUAGAUAUAUGGAGGAACACCAGUGGCGAAGGCGGCUCUCUGGUCUGUAACUGACGCUGAGGCUCGAAAGCGUGGGGAGCAAACAGGAUUAGAUACCCUGGUAGUCCACGCCGUAAACGAUGAGUGCUAAGUGUUGGAGGGUUUCCGCCCUUCAGUGCUGCAGCUAACGCAUUAAGCACUCCGCCUGGGGAGUACGACCGCAAGGUUGAAACUCAAAGGAAUUGACGGGGGCCCGCACAAGCGGUGGAGCAUGUGGUUUAAUUCGAAGCAACGCGAAGAACCUUACCAGGUCUUGACAUCCUUUGACCACUCUAGAGAUAGAGCUUCCCCUUCGGGGGCAAAGUGACAGGUGGUGCAUGGUUGUCGUCAGCUCGUGUCGUGAGAUGUUGGGUUAAGUCCCGCAACGAGCGCAACCCUUAUUGUUAGUUGCCAUCAUUCAGUUGGGCACUCUAGCAAGACUGCCGGUGACAAACCGGAGGAAGGUGGGGAUGACGUCAAAUCAUCAUGCCCCUUAUGACCUGGGCUACACACGUGCUACAAUGGGAAGUACAACGAGUCGCGAAGUCGCGAGGCUAAGCUAAUCUCUUAAAGCUUCUCUCAGUUCGGAUUGUAGGCUGCAACUCGCCUACAUGAAGCCGGAAUCGCUAGUAAUCGCGGAUCAGCACGCCGCGGUGAAUACGUUCCCGGGCCUUGUACACACCGCCCGUCACACCACGAGAGUUUGUAACACCCGAAGUCGGUGAGGUAACCUUUUGGAGCCAGCCGCCUAAGGUGGGAUAGAUGAUUGG
rnacentral:rRNA from 1 species